UACGUAGGGUGCAGGCGUUAAUCGGAAUUACUGGGCGUAAAGCGUGCGCAGGCGGUUUGCUAAGACAGGUGUGAAAUCCCCCGGGCUUAACCUGGGAACUGCGCUUGUAACUGGCAAGCUGGAGUGUGGCAGAGGGGGGGUGGAAUUCCACGUGUAGCAGUGAAAUGCGUAGAGAUGUGGAGGAACACCGAUGGCGAAGGCAGCCCCCUGGGCUAACACUGACGCCUCAUGCACGAAAGCGUGGGGAGCAAACAGG
rnacentral:rRNA from 1 species